GACGAACGCUGGCGGCGUGCCUAAUACAUGCAAGUCGAACGAGAGCGACCGGUGCUUGCACUGGUCAAUCUAGUGGCGAACGGGUGAGUAACACGUGGGUAACCUGCCCAUCAGAGGGGGAUAACAUCCGGAAACGGAUGCUAAAACCGCAUAGGUCUUCGAGCCGCAUGGCUUGAAGAGGAAAAGAGGCGCAAGCUUCUGCUGAUGGAUGGACCCGCGGUGCAUUAGCUAGUUGGUGAGGUAACGGCUCACCAAGGCCGUGAUGCAUAGCCGACCUGAGAGGGUGAUCGGCCACAUUGGGACUGAGACACGGCCCAAACUCCUACGGGAGGCAGCAGCAGGGAAUCUUCCGCAAUGGACGCAAGUCUGACGGAGCAACGCCGCGUGAGUGAAGAAGGUUUUCGGAUCGUAAAACUCUGUUGUUAGAGAAGAACAAGUGCUAGAGUAACUGUUAGCGCCUUGACGGUAUCUAACCAGAAAGCCACGGCUAACUACGUG
rnacentral:rRNA from 1 species